rnacentral:rRNA from 1 species
UGGGGAAUAUUGCACAAUGGGGGAAACCCUGAUGCAGCAACGCCGCGUGAGUGAUGACGGCCUUCGGGUUGUAAAGCUCUGUCUUCAGGGACGAUAAUGACGGUACCUGAGGAGGAAGCCACGGCUAAAUACGUGCCAGCGGCCGCGGUAAUACGUAGGUGGCGAGCGUUGUACGGAUUUACUGGGCGUAAAGGGAGCGUAGGCGGACUUUUAAGUGAGAUGUGAAAUACCCGGGCUCAACUGGGGUGCUGCAUUUCAAACUGGAAGUCUAGAGUGCAGGAGAGGAGAAUGGAAGUCCUAGUGUAGCGGUGAAAUGCGUAGAGAUUAGGAAGAACACCAGUGGCGAAGGCGAUUCUCUGGACUGUAACUGACGCUGAGGCUCGAAAGCGUGGGGAGCAAACA